GGGGAAUAUUGCGCAAUGGGCGAAAGCCUGACGCAGCGACGCCGCGUGGGGGAUGACGGCCUUCGGGUUGUAAACCUCUUUUACCACCAACGCAGGCUCCGGGUUCUCUCGGGGUUGACGGUAGGUGGGGAAUAAGGACCGGCUAACUACGUGCCAGCAGCCGCGGUAAUACGUAGGGUCCGAGCGUUGUCCGGAAUUAUUGGGCGUAAAGAGCUCGUAGGCGGCGUGUCGCGUCUGCUGUGAAAGACCGGGGCUUAACUCCGGUUCUGCAGUGGAUACGGGCAUGCUAGAGGUAGGUAGGGGAGACUGGAAUUCCUGGUGUAGCGGUGAAAUGCGCAGAUAUCAGGAGGAACACCGGUGGCGAAGGCGGGUCUCUGGGCCUUACCUGACGCUGAGGAGCGAAAGCAUGGGGAGCGAAC
rnacentral:rRNA from 1 species